GGCUUUGAAGGGAGGAAGAGAGCUAGUGCGGCGGAUUGGAACGAUACAGAGAAGAUUAGCAUGGCCCCUGCGCAAGGAUGACACGCAAAUUUGUGAAGCGUUCCAUAUUUUU